GACGAACGCUGGCGGCGUGCUUAACACAUGCAAGUCGAACGGAAAGGCCCUGCUUGCAGGGUACUCGAGUGGCGAACGGGUGAGUAACACGUGGGUGAUCUGCCCUGCACUUCGGGAUAAGCCUGGGAAACUGGGUCUAAUACCGGAUAGGAGCCAUUUUUAAUGUGAUGGUUGGAAAGUUUUUUCGGUGUAGGAUGAGCUCGCGGCCUAUCAGCUUGUUGGUGGGGUAAUGGCCUACCAAGGCGGCGACGGGUAGCCGGCCUGAGAGGGUGGACGGCCACAUUGGGACUGAGAUACGGCCCAGACUCCUACGGGAGGCAGCAGUGGGGAAUAUUGCACAAUGGGCGCAAGCCUGAUGCAGCGACGCCGCGUGGGGGAUGACGGCCUUCGGGUUGUAAACUCCUUUCGCUAGGGACGAAGCUUUUUGUGACGGUACCUAGAUAAGAAGCACCGGCUAACUACGUG
rnacentral:rRNA from 1 species